AGAUUGAACGCUGGCGGCAGGCCUAACACAUGCAAGUCGAGCGGUAGAGAGGUGCUUGCAUCUCUUGAGAGCGGCGGACGGGCGAGUAAUGCCUAGGAAUCUGCCUAGUGGUGGGGGAUAACGUUCGGAAACGGACGCUAAUACCGCAUACGUCCUACGGGAGAAAGCGGGGGACCUUCGGGCCUCGCGCCAUUAGAUGAGCCUAGGUCGGAUUAGCUAGGUUGGUGAGGUAAUGGCUCA
rnacentral:rRNA from 1 species